rnacentral:rRNA from 1 species
GACCUCGAAUCGGGUGGGACUACCCGCUGAACUUAAGCAUAUCAAUAAGCGGAGGAAAAGAAACUAACAAGGAUUCCCCUAGUAACGGCGAGUGAAGCGGGAAGAGCUCAAAUUUGAAAUCUGGCGGUCUCACGGCCGUCCGAGUUGUAGUCUAGAGAGGCGUUAUCCGCGACGGACCACGUACAAGUCCUUUGGGAUGCGGCGUCAUAGAGGGUGAGAAUCCCGUCCAUGACGUGGACUACCGUCGCUUUGCGUUGCGCCUUCGAAGAGUCGAGUUGUUUGGGAAUGCAGCUCAAAACGGGUGGUAAAUUCCAUCUAAAGCUAAAUACAGGCGAGAGACCGAUAGCGAACAAGUACCGUGAGGGAAAGAUGAAAAGAACUUUGGAAAGAGAGUUAAACAGUACGUGAAAUUGCUGAAAGGGAAACGCUUGAAGUCAG